rnacentral:rRNA from 1 species
UACGGGGUGCAGCAGGCGCGAAACCUUUACACUGCACGACAGUGCGAUAGGGGGAUCCCAAGUGCACAGGCAUAGCGCCUGUGCUUUUCGGUACCCUAAGGCGGUACCAGAAUAAGGGCUGGGCAAGACCGGUGCCAGCCGCCGCGGUAAUACCGGCAGCCCAAGUGAUGGCCGAUCUUAUUGGGCCUAAAGCGUCCGUAGCUGGCCACGCAAGUCCAUCGGGAAAUCCACCUGCCCAACAGGUGGACGCCCGGUAGAAACUGCGUGGCUUGGGACCGGAAGGCGCGACGGGUACGUCCGGGGUAGGAGUGAAAUCCCGUAAUCCUGGACGGACCGCCGAUGGCGAAAGCACGUCGCGAGAACGGAUCCGACAGUGAGGGACGAAAGCCAGGGUCUCGAACCGGAUUAGAUACCCGGGUAGUCCUGGCCGUAAACAAUGUCUGCUAGGUGUGGCUCCCACUACGAGUGGGUGCUGUGCCGCAGGGAAGCCGCUAAGCAGACCGCCUGGGAAGUACGUCCGCAAGGAUGAAACUUAAAGG